rnacentral:rRNA from 1 species
AACGGGUAACGGAGGAUUAGGGUUUGAUUCCGGAGAAGGAGCAUGAGAAACGGCUACUAUUUCUAAGGAAAGCAGCAGGCGCGCAAAAUUAUUCAAUGGAAACAAUUUUCCGAAAUAGUGACAAAAAAUAUCAAUGCUGGGUAUUAUAUACUUAGUAAUUGGAAUGAGUACAAUUUAAAUCCCUUAACAAGUAACAAUUAGAGGGCAAGUCUGGUGCCAGCAGCCGCGGUAAUUCCAGCUCUAAUAGCGUAUAUUAAUAUUGUUGCAGUUAAAAAGCUCGUAGUUGAAAUUUGGGACUUUAUUAUAUUGGUUUAUCUUUUGAUGAACUGUAUAAUGGGUUUCUUCCUACUAGAGUUCGAUUCUGUUCUUAAUUGAAUGGAGUAGCUAUCUCUCGGGGUGGUCAAUUGGUUGUUAUAUCUCCACUAAUGAGCGGAGAGGGGUAAAACCUUCAAAGUAGUUAUGUGGGUCAAGGUAUAAUGAUUAAUUGGAGUUCUAGUUCAUUUACUUUGAGAAAAUUAGAGUGUUUAAAGCAGCCUCUUGGGG